ACUAUGCUUGGCCCUAAACCUCAGUAGUUAGAUAACAAAACUACUCGCCAGAAUACUACAAGCAACAGCUUAAAACUCAAAGGACUUGACGGUGCUUUACACCCCCUAGAGGAGCCUGUUCCAUAAUCGAUAAACCCCGAUCCACCCCACCCUCUCUUGCUCAGCCUAUAUACCGCCAUCUUCAGCAAACCCUGAUGAAGGUCACAAAGUGAGCGCAAACGCCACUACCGCGAAGACGUUAGGUCAAGGUGUAGCCUAUGAGACGGUAAAAAAUGGGCUACAUUUUCUGUCUCAGAAAAUUCUACGAAAACCCUUAUGAAAUCUAAGGGUCCAAGGAGGAUUUAGCAGUAAAUUAAGAAUAGAGUGCUUAAUUGAACCAGGCCAUAAAGUGCGCACACACCGCCCGUCACUCCUCUCAAAUAUAUUUAAGGAAUAUCUUAACUAAACGCCCUAAUAUUUAUAUAGAGAGGAUAAGUCGUAACACGGUAAGCGUACUGGAAGGUGCGCUUGGAUAAAU
rnacentral:rRNA from 1 species